rnacentral:rRNA from 1 species
GACGAACGCUGGCGGCGUGCUUGACACAUGCAAGUCGAACGGUGACGAUCAAGCUUGCUUGGUCUGAUCAGUGGCGAACGGGUGAGUAACACGUGAGUAACCUGCCCCAGACUCUGGGAUAACCCCGGGAAACCGGAGCUAAUACCGGAUAUGACAUGCCCCUGCAUGGGGAGUGUGUGGAAAGUUUUUUCGGUCUGGGAUGGACUCGCGGCCUAUCAGCUUGUUGGUGAGGUAAUGGCUCACCAAGGCGACGACGGGUAGCCGGCCUGAGAGGGCGACCGGCCACACUGGGACUGAGACACGGCCCAGACUCCUACGGGAGGCAGCAGUGGGGAAUAUUGCACAAUGGGCGAAAGCCUGAUGCAGCGACGCCGCGUGAGGGAUGACGGCCUUCGGGUUGUAAACCUCUUUCAGCAGGGAAGAAGCGCAAGUGACGGUACCUGCAGAAGAAGCACCGGCUAACUACGUGCCAGCCGCCGCGGUAACAC